UACGAAGGGGGCUAGCGUUGCUCGGAAUCACUGGGCGUAAAGCGCACGUAGGCGGAUUGUUAAGUCAGGGGUGAAAUCCUGGAGCUCAACUCCAGAACUGCCUUUGAUACUGGCGAUCUCGAGUCCGGGAGAGGUGAGUGGAACUGCGAGUGUAGAGGUGAAAUGCGUAGAUAUUGGGAGGAACACCGGUGGCGAAGGCGGCUACCUGGACCGGUACUGACGCUGAGGCGCGAAAGCUAGGGUAGCAAACAGG
rnacentral:rRNA from 1 species